UCGUUCCUUCGUAAUCCAACCAAGUGGUAUCAGAAUGUACAAAAUAAGCUUUCUAGUCAUCGUACUGUCUGUGUUAGUGAUUUGUGUAUAUGCACAAAGCCCAACGUCCAUCUCGACACCGGCACAAACCACGCAACGGCCAGCCUGUAAA